CCAAUCGUGUUUUAGAGGGGCGGGGUGCACCACGCAGUCCCUCUGUCGCUAAGGUGGGUGAUUCUCCAGAACGUAUUCUCGAUUGACUGGGAUUUGGAGAGAUGGGCUUAUGGCUCUGAAUUCGUUGCGUUUCUCAGCCAAGCAUCACGUGUAGUAAUUGGAGAGAUUCUUUACUGCUUUUCUUGCGGUACCUAUAAAGACAAUUACCAAGUGGAAGAGAGACGCACAUUCCGACGCUCAUCACUUUUGCCAUCUCACCUGCCCUAGCGGUGAAUAGGAGUGGUAGGCUAGUUUACCAUGGAUCAGGAGAAAUACUUACCGGAGCUGAUGGCAGAAAAGGAUACGCUGGACUCCACGUUUGUUCAUGCAAUGCGUCUGCUUGCGGAAGAAAUCGAAAAGUAUGAUGGGGAUGAGUUGAGAAAAGAUGGUGAUGUGAAGAAAUACCUUGAUAUCAUCAGUAACAAAAACGUCAAGCUCUCAGAAAGAGUACUCAUCCCUGUUCAACAGUACCCAAAGUUUAAUUUUGUUGGGAAGCUGUUGGGGCCACGAGGCAAUUCCAUGAAAAGAUUACAAGAAGAAACAGGAGCCAAGAUGUCCAUCCUGGGAAAAGGCUCCAUGAGGGACAAAGGAAAGGAAGAAGAGUUGAGGAAAAGCGGAGAGGCCAAGUAUGCACAUUUGAGUAACGACCUCCAUGUUUUAAUUGAAGUAUUUGCUCCACCUGGUGAGGCCUAUUCCCGCAUGAGCCAUGCCUUGGAGGAGAUCAAAAAAUUCCUAGUUCCAGACUACAAUGACGAGAUCAGACAGGAGCAGCUGAGAGAACUCUCCUACUUGAAUGGAGGAUCAGACGACGCCAGCAGAGGGAGAACAGUGCGGGGGCGGGGCUUACGGCUUGCUUCCACAACAACCACUCGGGGACGGGGAGCCACGGCCCCGCCCCCUCCACCAGGCAGGGGGGCAGCUGCAGCCCGGGGAACAGCGGGCACGCGGAGUGCGCUCCCACAAGCCACACUAGGGAGAGGAGUGACUGCUCCCAGGGCCAGGGGGACAAAAGGAAACCCUGGAUACCGACCACCUCUGCUACCUGUCACACACGAAUCAUACGACGACUAUGGCUACGACGAUGGAUACGAUGGUGAAUAUGAUGACCAGAGUUAUGACGCCUAUGAGGACAACUACAGCAAUCAGUCAAAGAGCAUUUCGGAAUAUUACGAAUAUGGCCACGGUACCAGUGAUGACACCUACAACAAUUACGAAGAGGAGUGGACUACAAGUCGUCCCACGCUCAAAGCCCCGGCAGUAAGGCUCUCACGGGGGGGCUACAGAGAACAUCCUUAUGGUAGAUAUUGAAGGUAUUUCAUAUUGUGUGAACUGUUCAGUAAGAGAAGUGUGACAGACUCUGAAGCACAGUGGAGCACAAAGUAAAUUCUUCCCAGGGGACUGUGGAGUGCCUUCACCUGUACCAGGCACCGUCAUAAAUUAGCCUUGUGAAAAUGAGCAUGAUGCGUGGAGCGUUCUGUCGAUGUGGAGAGUACCCCACCCCGUCCAAGUCAACGUGACCAGGUGACUAAAUGCAUGUCAUUGACAGUUGGAGCAUUGAGCUCCUUUACAUCAUAUCACUGAGGUUGCUUUUGUCCACACCCCUACACACUGUAUACAUUUUAGUCGCAUGCUCGCCGACUGGAUUUGCCUUUGACACGGGACAUCAAUUUCUCUCACGGCUGAAUAUGUUUAGCAGAAGAACUUUGUUCACAAUUCACCAGGGUUUCACUACGGCGCGCGUGGGAUCACCUCUUCCACCCUCUCCGGUGCCAGAGAGCAGAUCGUCACCACAGACAUGCCGUGUUACCUGGGGGGAAAGGCAGUCCCACGGCCCCUCACCCACAGGUCGACCGCCCCUUGAUGUCAAACCCACGUUGACAGAGAGUGGCCAGGGGAUGUAGACAGAUGUGGUGAAAGGGACGUGCAUGGAGACUGGAGGCGUACCAGCCGUGACGCUCGACGUCUUCCUUCAAGGCCAGCAACACAGAAGCCCUCCAGUGUCUUGAAGCUUACCAAGGACAAGCAUGUAAUUUAGAAAGUAUAUAGACUUAGAAGCAUUUUAAACACAGGCUUUAUUUGUAAGAGGGUGAUUAUAUACAGUAUUUCAGUUAUGCUACUGAUUUCGAAAGCAUCCUGUGUAUCAUUGCAUUUUCUCCACAAAAGCCAACCAAAAUGUUGACUGGCAUGUAGAACUAAUAGAUGUUUACUCAACUGUAGUUUGACCUCAGGUGUCUGUUAACGUUUCUUUCUUUCCAUUUCUUCUCACUACAGGCAGUGAACUAUAAAUGCUGUUUCUGUAUUGAGUCUUUCCACUGCUGUCAUUCUGCUGUGUCUGAAUAAAAGAACAGACGGGAAAAAAGACAAACAAGAGUUGCUUUUGCUUUCACUUAAAUUCUGACAUGCAGGGUUGUAAGUAAUGAGAAUUGUAAGUUAUCUAUGCCGUCAAAAGUGCUGUGCCACUGUUGAUUUCAAGACAUUGACUCAACAACAGGUAAA